GGGCACCUGUGGAGAGGACAGAGGAGUGAAUGAGACCCCACUUAACUGGACCCAGUCCCGUCAUCAGCCAUGGAACUUAGAAUUCUCUUACCUGUAGCUGCUGCCACCAAGAGGAGGAUCCUCCAGGUCCAGUCCAUGGUGAUGUGCUGUGCUCUGGGGACUUCUACAGGGGAGAGAUGUGGUUGUUGUGUGAUGCUCUCUGGGCAAGGACAGAUCUGUAUUUACCUCGGUAAACACCAGUGCAUUUGCAUAUUCAUGAGGCAGCUACCUAUUUCGUAGCUCAAGCCCCCCAACCUGAGGAAGAAGUUAGGUGACACACGGACCACGCCACAGUGGGAUGCUGAGCUCCAUGCCCUGUACUUUGUUUAAUGAUAUUUGUCCUCUGACAUGCUCAGAAGUCCAUGAAGACAGAACUCGUCUCACAGAAAACCACAAUCUCCCAGGACAUUGUCCUCAAUGUGAUUCCUUGUUCCUAUGGAACUCUGACAACCUGAACAUUUCCUGGGCCUUCACCUCUGCACCUUAACUUCUAGGAUGAGUAGCUAAAGCAAGCUCAGUACUACUGGUGAUUUGGAAAGUGCCUUCAUAUUGUUUUUGCCAGUUCUCACCUGAGAACCCUGCAGAUGCCCCAUGAGAGGCUGUGCCCUUUACAAGGAGUCUCCAGUGAUACAGCUGAUUUUCCUCCAUACUCUAAUCCCCUUCAUGGCUGCAGCAUCAACAGAUUGCUCUCUUGAAUCUGACCCCAGUUGUUUUAUUAAUUAUACCCCUUUUUGUGACACAGGAAGGCUAAGAUGAAGCUGUCUUGGAUGGAAAAGAAUUCGUUCUCCUCACAUGGAAUAAAGAUCUUGAAAAGUAUUUUUUCUAUGUAGGGUCUGUCCGGACAAAGUUCUGGGCAUAUUUAUCAGAGAACAGUUCUCCUGAUAUCAGAGCCAUGAGGGAAUCUGUUUGGAUUCUCAUCUUGAGAACCCAGAAGUUUCUGGAGGGAAAUUUCAUAAAAGUGUGGGGUGCGUGGCCCCCAGGAGUUCUUACCCUACCCUAUCCACACUUGUCUGCUAGGCAUUUAUGGAAUUAUCAUGUAACUGUUUCCACCAGCUUGUGCUUUCAAUGGAAGAAUCACCCAAUUUAUAAAUUUAGAAAAGAAACUUUAUUUCUGAUAAAUGGGUGAAGCUGCAGGAUGGCCAUCUUAACAGGCCGGAAAGCAAAGCCUCCCACAGAGACAGUGAGCAGGCACUUCAAGAGAGGGAAAGGUGAGAAAUGAGUUCAUGCAAAUGGAUUGGCCAAGUGCACAUACUCAGCGGGCUAUAGAAGGAGCUAUGAAUAUUCACAUGGUGGGCAGGCUGUCAUGCAUAAUAAGCAAACACAGAUGUUACAUGCAUUUCAUGUUUGCUUUGGGGCGAGGACUUAAGAACUAAACAAAUUACAGUUGGGCCGUGUACAUCAAAAGGGCUUUGUGCAGAGGCAGAAGGACACACAGUGCACAGCCUCCAUAAUUUGGCAAGGACAAGUCCAUGGUGAGUGGUCUCUUCUCAGGAGAAAGUUACUGAAAUCAGUCCUUCUCCAUUCAAAGCUCUUUUUAUGGCUGUGGAACGGGCACAGUUACCCAGUGUCUUGAGUUCCAUGAGCUGCAAAUAUUUUAAUAUUCUUAUCGUAGGACCAGUGCUUUUUAGCUGCUAGAGAAAAUGAAAAGCCCUGUGGCAGUUACAACAUAGUCUAUUUUUUAAGUGUAGGAGUGAGUGACUUAAUUUUUGCUUGAUGUGGACUUGGGUCUUGUUUAUAAUUUGGUAUCUUAUUGCCACAACAAGAUUGUUCCAUCAGUCUGAUGAUCUCUAUUUUAAUGUCUUUCUAGUUUUUGGGUCUUGGUUUUCCCUGCAAUUUGAUUUCUUAAAUAGAUCCAAGAAGUUAUUGAUAAUCAAUUUUCCAGGCUUUCAUUGUUGUAGGAAUGUAGGGGAUGACUGACAUGCUCUUUACAUAUUAAAGUGGAAAACAGAAGUAGCUUCAGAGAUCACCAUUGACCUGACAAGCAGCAGGAAUCUCAUCUCGUUAAGUGUAAGUGGCACCACAGAUGUAGCUGAACAUGCAGUGACACAGAAGACCCACACCACAGAACACAUGAAAAAUUUUAUGAUUCUGAGGUUUUCUCCAGGAAGCUGGAACUCAGGUGGUACUACAGAGAUGGACUCAGUUAUCUCUCAGGUGAUACUAUGUUUUGGAAGCUUAUUUCCACUCCUGCACUGGACUCAUUAGCUGCACCUCGACCAGCACACCUAAAACAGAAACUCUCAAUAAUUAAGCACAAAACUCACCAAUAAUAAAGCUGUCCCCAGAGAAGGUGCAGAGCAGGGAACUCUGCUUUUGGGAACAUGCUGGUGUGCAGGGAGUGUCAGGAGCGUGACCCAUUUCCUUCUGCUCCCCCUGCUGGCUUCACAGACAACUGCAUCCAGGAGCUUUAUGUUGCAAAGUAUAUAAAAUAUGUUAUAAUUGUAGAGAAAUGUAAUACACAGAUUAAGGAAUGAGGAACGUACAUGAAAUUAAACAUAAUAUUAUCACGGAUAAGACAACAAACAAAUAUUAAAAACCUGUGUGUGUACGUGUUUGAGAUAGUAUUCUUGUAAAUUAAAUCAUAAUUUGUUUAUAAAGUCCUUCAACUAUGUACAAAAUCUUUGCCUUUGAUUGCCACAAAGAUGAAGAAGGAUGUGGCACCAGGACUCCAGGGCCAUGCUAGUGAUUUCCCCUCCUAUCUCCUGAGGACACGGUGCUUCCAACUCUGAGGAUCAGGAUGCUGAAAUUGGCUGUGUGAGAAGAGAAAAUGGGAUUUUCUGUGGGAACAGACUAGUGUGAAUGUAACUUUCAAGCAAGAAACCAGCUUCUGCUCUCUGACAUAUAUCACCUGGUUUGUGCCAAGAGCAUUAACCCUGGGAGCUCCUCCCAAAAAAAUGGUUGUGCACAGGGGAGAUGUUAAGCUAUGGCUGCUCCUGGGACUCAUCGGAGAUUCCUGAUGGGCAUCUGUAAUCAGGAAGUCAUCAACAGCCUUGCCGGACUUAACUUGCUCCACAGGUUAACUAGGAAGCACCACCAAACUCCCACAUUUCCCCAUCACUAGUUGUAAGACUGGCAUCCUGGCCUGACAGUGUCUACAGCCUCACCCAGCCUCCUGUGUGUUUUUCUGCCUGCCUUACUUACAUCUCACUUUGGGACAAAUAAGAAAUUUUUUAAAUAAACUUUUCUAAUCUAGAGACCUCAGUGGUAGGCACAGAAACACAAAUAUAGAGAGGCUCCCAGGGAAACUGUUCGAUGGAGAGGAAGCCACAGACCCUGAAGGAAAGCGGCCCUUGACCUUCAACUGCACCUGCCCUGGGGAUGCCCCUAACUUCUGUGGGAGUGAGUGCCCUCUGCAGCCCAGGCUCCUUCCUUCUCUCUGCAGGAUAUUUUGCGUUUUGGCUGACACUGGUGUUCCCUCACUUGGUACCUUAUGUACAAUAAUACGAGGCCAUGUUCUCAGCUCUGACUGUUCAUUCACAGGUACAGUGAGUUCUUGGCAUUGUCUUUGGAAA
rnacentral:lncRNA from 1 species